AAUGGCAGGUCAGCAUACUGCCGUGAAUACGUUCCCGGGCCUUGUACACACCGCCCGUCACACCAUGAGAGUUGGGGAUACCCGAAGCCUGUGAGCUAACAGUAAUGAAGCAGCAGUCGAAGGUAGAAUCAAUGAUUGGGGUGAAGUCGUAACAAGGUAUC
rnacentral:rRNA from 1 species